CUACGUGCCAGCAGCCGCGGUAAUACGUAGGGUGCGAGCGUUAAUCGGAAUUACUGGGCGUAAAGCGAGCGCAGACGGUUACUUAAGCAGGAUGUGAAAUCCCCGGGCUCAACCUGGGAACUGCGUUCUGAACUGGGUGACUAGAGUGUGUCAGAGGGAGGUAGAAUUCCACGUGUAGCAGUGAAAUGCGUAGAGAUGUGGAGGAAUACCGAUGGCGAAGGCAGCCUCCUGGGAUAACACUGACGUUCAUGCUCGAAAGCGUGGGUAGCAAACAGGAUUAGAUACCCUGGUAGUCCACGCCCUAAACGAUGUCAAUUAGCUGUUGGGCAACUUGAUUGCUUAGUAGCGUAGCUAACGCGUGAAAUUGACCGCCUGGGGAGUACGGUCGCAAGAUUAAAACUCAAAGGAAUUGACGGGGACCCGCACAAGCGGUGGAGCAUGUGGUUCAAUUCGAAGCAACGCGAAGAACCUUACCAAGUCUUGACAUCCUUUGACCACUCUAGAGAUAGAGCUUUCC
rnacentral:rRNA from 1 species